CAUCUGUAGCUCAAAUGGAUAGAGCGUAUGGCUACGAACCAUAAAGUUGUAGGUUCAAAUCCUUCCAGAUGCA
rnacentral:tRNA from 1 species